AAAAUAGGCCAGCUUUUAGGUCCUUGAAGAGUAAAAACAGAAAUUAAAAGGGUUAGAAGGAAAAGAAAAAAUCUAAAGGCUGCCCUAAUUUUCAUGUUUUAAAAGGAUAGACUCUCAUUCACUCUCACACACAUCUUUACACACGCCCGAGCCACAACAACAGCUGGAAGCCCUAGAGUUUCAGAUCUGAAAACAAAAACUCCCAAAUAUCAAAAUAAAAACUCCCAAAGAAGAGGAUUUCGAAGAGCUGAUUGACCUCUACUGGUUGCUAUACAAUUUCUGGGAUUUUCUGAAUUGAUCAAGUUUUAAAAAUCAUUUUUGUUUUCUGUUGCUGUUCUGGGUUUUCUGUAGCUGAGCUCCACUUCAUAGCUGUUGUUUUUCCUGCCUUUAUUUGGCUUUUUGUAAGACUUUGCACUGCUGCAAGGUAUUUAUUCCAGCCUCAAAUGAUGUAAUUGUUGUUUAGAUGUCAUUGUGCUAUGAAAUAUGCCAAUUGUGUUUCUGUUGAAUGCUCUUACAUAUUGAUUGCAAUUUUAAGUUGGUAUUGAAAUAUUUGAUGUAACUCUUGUCUAAAACAUGUUGUAGAUUCAAAUAACAAUAAGAUAUGUUUAAAAAUUGAGUUGGUUUUGUGGUUUGACGUUUUGCUUUUACCUGCUGGUCUGUUUGUUUGGUAAUAGCAAUUUGUGAUGUUAAUUUUGCCAUACCUAAAACUGAAAUUGUUUGUUACUUGUGCUAGAACCUGUUUUCAAUUGAUUCAUUUAAGUAAAUGUUUAAUCAUGUGUUGAGUGUUGUUUCAGAUUUAAUUAGCCAUGAAUUUGACUAUAAAUCUCCAGGUUAAUCAGGCAAUUCUGAGUUCAUUUCAGCAGGCAGGGUUGAAUAGAAAUGAGGAUUUGGGAAUAGUCUUAGUCCUAAAAGUUGUUAGAGAUCACAAAUAGUUAUCUUAAUGUAAUAAUGUUGCAUCAAAUUAGAUUUACAUCUUUCGUGUGCUAUUGCUAAGCAGCUUAUGAUGUAAGGAUUAAUUGCAUGUUUGAUCUUGAAGAUGGUAGCCCCCGUUAUUAAUAUUGUUUCGAACAGCUUGAGUUUCAUUUACUGGGUUUGAUUAUGGGUUUAGAGUUGGGCAGACUUGUACCCAUAUAAACACCUCCAAUAUAAAUAAGUUUUAAGGUGAUUAAUGGCUGUUAGAUACCCUGCUAGGAUCACUGUAAUUAAUUUCCCAUCCACCACCAAGUGACUCUAACAUUAGAGUCGAAUGACUGAAGGCUCAACCAUUACUUUAAUAAACCAGAUGUUAAGGAAUUUUCUUUUUGUGAUCUUACACGCAUUGGAAAAGACAAUUUAGUGGUUAACCAAUAGCUUCGAAUCCACCUGAUUAAAUGUGUUGUUCAUCCACAAUAAGUCCUUCUAUAACGUUGGGCCUUUACAUUAAUCUCAAAUUACCGCAUAUAGGUAGUUAAUCUUUGAACAUUCGUAAUUUGCUUUAGACGCUCUUUAACUAAAAUCCGUCAAAAUUAUGGGUACGGUUUCCGUGACAUAACUUUGACACCUAAUCAGAGGCGGAUCCAGGAUUCGAAGGUUGUGGGUGCUACCAUGUUAUGCGUACAAUAUACAUGUAGUAACUACAAAGACAAAUUAGGAAUAAUGGGUCGGUUCGGUUAGUUUUUGGUUAAUUUGAAUAGGCCUUUCAUUCACAAAGCAAAUAAGUUCGAUUUUAGUUCAAAUUUUUAACUCUUAUUUUAAACACAUUCUAAAUAAAAAUGCAAAAGAAAAAUAACAUUUCAUGAAAGAGCGCCUCCAAUAUAAAUACUUGCUUAAAGAGUACCUUAACUAUACUAUAUUCUUUGUUUGACUAGGUUAAUUUACUUGUAUUGUUCUUUGUUUAUUUUUUCAUCUUAAUUGUUGAGUUAUAUGACAAUUAUUUUCAAAGAAAAACCUUUAACAUUCAACCGAUAUUCAACUCAAAACGACUAUCAAUCAAGCCAUUUAAUUAUUUUUUCAAAACCCAAUAGAAGAUAUUGCUCAAAUUAUAUUCCAAAAUAUAAAUUAAUAUCGUUUCAUUAAAAAUAAAGAAAUUAUAUUCUAAUUAAAAUCAAUUAAAAUUACCUAUAGAAAAUAAUUGUUUAUAAAGUAAGGUAUAAUGAUAGAAACAAAAUGAGGACUGAAAGUUAAAAAAAAUGAAAAAGAGAGACUUAGCAAGUAAUAAAAGGAGGGAAAGAACCGAAAAAGAAGGAAAAGAGGUGAGGCCCUAGGGUUCAACUGAAAAUAAAAGAAAUCUUAAUAAGUAGAAAAAAAAAUCAAAGAGCUGCUCCAACAAGGAAUCGAACUUGCAUUCAUGAGGCCAAGAAAAGCCUUCAGAAGGAAGGUUGAACCAAUGGCACCCGCUUUCACUUUGUGACUUUUGGGUGCCACUCUAUCCAUUUAUACAUUUCUUUACAGAGAUAUUAUGUACAUAAUAAGAAUUUUAGCGAAGCGAGCGGGUGCCGUGGUACCCCUAACUUACAAGGUAGAUCCGCCCCUGCACCUAAUCUCAAAUUCAAUCCAUCUUCCUUUUGAUUGGCCUAUAUCUUUGAAUCCGGUCUUUCGUUAUUCCCACAUUCCCUUAGUCCCGUAUUGGCUGUCGGUCUAUCUCAUAUUCGCAGAAGAAGGAAUGACGGACUAAGACGGCCAGAAGUGGCCAGCAGUCGCGGUCGAAGCUUGGCUCUAGCCGAUAGGCUAGCAGUAAGCUUGGCUACAGCGAAGCGCUUACCAAGCGCGAAGGAAAGGGCCUUAGCCACUUGAGCCGUAUGCGGGGUAACUCGCACGUGCGGUUCUUAGGGGGGAGAGCUAGUAGGAGCCAUCCCAUAUGACUUGACCCUAACUUCAAAUAAUAAUAAAAUAAACAUGUUGUAAAUCACAGGUACGUUUCACGUGGCGUGAUUUAUAAUAUGUAUAAAAAAAUAAUAAGUGCGCGACAUCGUGACUUGUUUAAAUAAUUUUCAUAAUUGUGUAAAAUAAUUAAAAGCGAUAAAAGUUUAAAACGCACAGUAAGUUCUAAAACGUCUAAUAAUCAGAUAAGUAAGCCAGGUAUAAUUGUAAAGUGAUCGUGAUAAAACUACGGAAUUCGGGAGUGCCUCACACCUUUUUCCGGAUUAACAGAAUUCCUUACCCGAUCUUCUAUGUUCGCAGACUUUAAAUAGAGUCAAUUUUUCUUGAUUUGGGAUUCAAAAUAAUUGGUGACUCGGACACCGCAAUUAAAUAAUUUCGAGUAGUGACUCUUGUAAAAUAAAAUAAAUUAAUCAUCCUUCAAAUAAUAUCAUUUAAAGUGGAAAAACUUCUUUCCCCAUAAAAAAGAGAUGUGACAGUUCUGGAGACUCUGCUGGGGACACGAAUCCAGAACUUCUGGUUCAGGGUUCAGAAUUCGAGCUUAGAAUAACUGUUAUACUUGGCUUGUUCGUUUAUUGUCUCACUUUACGUGUUUGGGUCUAAUGUGCUAAUUGCCGCUCUUUACCGCUUUAAUAUUGUCGUGAACUGUAUAUAAACUGUUACGACAUCCUUCUUCUCUCCGAGUCUUCUAAAUCUUCCAGCAAGCGUGCGCUUCGCGUGGCUUCUUUUCUAUUAGAUGUCAUACCCUUAAUUUUAGAUCGAGGGCCGGACCAGUUGCAAAGUCGAUGAAGCUUAUGUAUUCCCGGUACGCUGCCCCCUCGGCUCGAGUUGUCCGCUUGGGUAAGCCUUGUCUAGAACUCUACACCGUAAGGUUUAAACUUAGAAGAACAAAUCCCUAGUAGGUACACUUGUUUGCAUCACGUGCAUUUGACUUUGGGGACUUAACACAGGAGUUGGGUCCGUCUAGAACAUGUGUACCCCCAAAAUAAAAUACCAUCAUGAUGCAUCUUAUGUGUUACUUGUUGCAUUUGUUUGUUCUGGUUUGCAUGUUGAUUAGCUUAUAGAAUAGGGAUAGAAAAUCAAGAAAAACUAGGAGAGUAAAAAUAGGAGGGAGAAAAUUUGCCCGGUUCCUGAAAAUCCCAAUUUUUUUGGAAAAAAAAAGAGAAAGAGAAAGAGAAAGAAAAAUCCUGAAACUCUAUCGAAUUUUUAGAAGGUUGUUACAAAAUGAGUCCAAACUUUCAAAAAAUGAUCUUUUCCUUAAUUUUGAAAAAAAUUCCCCGAACUACGUAGGUCUGAUUCUAACCGGAUGUGAAAUACGUAGAAAAUCUUCAUCAGGUCCGGCCCCACUUUUGCAAAAAUAACCAAAAAUAGGAAUAUGGCAAAAUUUUUAAAACAUGGUCAUUACCCUGGGCCGUUCUUGUCGAAAUAACCUCAAAAUGUUCUCCCAGGAUGCCGGAAGGCCGUUUUUGCAAGAAUAGCCACAAUAUUAACCCGAGUCAGUCUUUUCCCUAUAAUCAACACCAUUUGGCAGAAACAACCCUAAAAACUUUUCUCAAGCGCUGAAGGGUUGUAUUUGCGAAAAUAACCCAUGUUUGUCACUAAGUUAUUAAACGAAAAUUUUAAAUUUAGCCACUUUGUGUUUUUGAAAACAGUGUCUGUUUUGACCCUUUGUCCUAAUUUGCGUACAGAAUGUGCACUGUUGAGAAUUUACUUUUUUGGGUCGUAGACGAGAUUCCUUUGAUACUCCACAUGUGGUGGAAUGACCUAGGGGAAGUCGGUCAGCGUUCUGUGACCAAGGCAUUGGGUGGUCUUAACGAUCUUUUGAAGAUUAAGCCAAGGGUUGAUAUGAUCGAGGUAUUGAUACCGUUCUGGGACCCGGUACAUAAUGUUUUUCACUUCUCGAAUUUAGAGUUGACUCUUACGCUGGAGGAGAUAGCAGGUUAUGCCGAAUAUGAUGGGGGUCUUAGUCAUAUGUAAUGACCCGAUCACUCAUUUUAAGAAUUAGCAUCCCAUUCGGUGGUUUAAGAUCUCGAUCAACUUUAUAUUAUGUAUUAUGACGUGAGUGUAUUGUCGAGUUCGAAUUUCGGAUGAUUCGAGAUUGAUUUGGAAGAAUGAUUUUUGCUUUAGGAGCUUAAGUGAAAAGAGUUGACCGGAGUUUUGACUUUUAUGUAGACGACUCUGGAAUGGUGUUUUGAUGAUUCCAAUAGCUUCAUAUGGUGAUUUUGGGCUUAGGCGUGUGUCCGGAUUUGGAUUUGGAGAUCCGUAGGAUAAUUUGAAGCAUUUUGGCAAAAAUUGAAAAGUUGAGAGGUUUGACCAGAAGUUGACUUGGUUGAUAUCAGGCUCGAAUUGCGAUUAUGAGAGUUGGAUUAGAUCCGUUAUGUCAUUUGGGACUUGCAUGUAGAAUUUGAGAUUAUUCCGGAUUGAUUUGAUAUGUUUCGGCGCGAGUUAUAGAAAUUGAAAAUUCAUAAGUCUUUUAAGUUCGAUUCGAGGUGCGAUUCAUAGUUUUGACAUUUCUGGAUGUGAUUUGAGGCCUCGAGUAGGUUCGUGUUAUGUUGUAGGACUUGUUGGUAUAUUCAGACGGGGUCCCGAGGGGCUCGGGUGAGUUUCGGACAUGAUUCAGAUCAUUUUUGGUCAUGUUGGCAGUUCUGGUGCUGGUUCUUCGCACCUGCGCAAAAUUGGCCGUAGGUGCAGACGCGCUUAUGCGAUGGAUGCUUCGCUUUUGCUAAGGGGAGGUGCUGUGGCGAGUUCCACUUUUGCGGAGGGAGAUGCGCAGAUGCGCAAGCGCUCCUGCGGGGACUCGAUUGCUUCUGUGAGUCUGAGUGCGAAUAGGGCGUCCGCUUCUGCGGUGGGGGCAGGCGCUUCUGGGGAGUCGCAGGUGCGGCAGAUGCUCCGCAGGUGCGGUCUUUUGUCCUUUGAUUUUUAGUCGAAGAAGCGAUGUUUUGGCUCGCAAAUGCGAGGCUGUAGGUGCGGCAUUUUGUCCGCAAAUACGAAAAAUUCUAGGCAGAAAGGUUAUAUUCGAGGGCUUGCCAUUUUUACCAUAUUUUGAGUUGUAGACCUCAGAGUCGAGCGAUUUUUGAGGGGUUCUUCAAGUGUUCGAUUGGGGUAAGUAUUCUAUUCCGAAGUUGAUUACAUUUACUGAUUUCAUAAUUAUUUAUAUCAUUAAAUUAGUGAAUUGAAUGGAAGAAAAUGGGAAAUUUCAUAAAAAUCUUUCAAAAUGUAAAAUGAAGAUUUGAAGGGCAAUUCGAUGUCGGAAAUUGAUAAUUUUGGUAUGGUUGGACUCGUAUCGGAAUGGGUGUUCAGGUUUUGUAAAUUUUUAUAGGGUUUCGAGGUGCGGGCAUAGGGUUGACUUUUGGGUUGAUUUUUUAGUUUUAAUAAAUGAUCGUAGUUUUAUUAUCUAGAAUUGUUUUCUAUGAGUUUUAUUUGUGUUAUGAAGUUAUUUUGGCUAGAUUUGAGCCGUCCGGAGGUUGUUUCACACAAGAAGGUCAUUUUAGAGUAUCAGUGUAGGUUUUUUGAGAUAAAUAUCUUACCUCACCUUGUAUGGGGGAACUACCCCUUAGGAUUUGAGUCAUUUGUGCUAAUUGUGUCAUGUGAAGACCGUGUACGUGAGGUGAUGAGUAUGUACGAGCUUAUUUGUGGGAACUUGACCGUUGUAAGCUCUUAGGUUAUUUUUCUCAAUUAAAAUUGAAGUUGUCUUAUCAUGUUAAAUCCUACAUUUACUAAAUUUAUCCUUACAUGUCUUAACUGGAGUUGAUUGGUUCAUGUUCUACCCUUGUUGCCAAUAAACUAUUAUGUGCCUUAAUUAAAGUUGUCGCCUCUUUUAUUGCCAUGCUAUCUUUUUCGUAAAUGCUUAACUUUAAUUGAAGUUAUUAUUAUUCCUUCCGUAAUUGAUUAACUUUAAUUGAAGUUAUUAUUAUCUCUUCCGUAAUUACUUAGCCUUAAUUGAAGUUUUGUUAUCCCUUUCAUUGUUGACGGGUUCUUAUUUGGGGUCAUUGAUUCAUGUUAUCUCUCUUAUCAUCGAAUUGUACUUUUGUGAAAUUAUUGUUACACAUUAUCUCUCCCUUGUUGAGCUAUUCUUGUUGAGACUAUUAUUCCCUGUUGUGUCUUUCUUUGUGAUCUCGUUCUUUCGUUUCUUUAUGUUCUGAAGUUCUUGUGUUGAUUCACUUGUCGUACUCUUAUGUUAUUGUUGUUAUUGUUGUUGUACUCAGUGUUGUUGAGCCGAGAGCGAUGCGUGAUUGUGGUGCCGAGAUUGUUUUGAGGAAAAUUUAUGGCAUAUGGGCACAUGUGGUGAAAGACCUUAUAUUGUGUUGUUAUGUUUUGGCACAUGUGAUAUUGUUGAGAGGAUUGUCAGGGUGUUCGCACGUGAGUUGUCCGUGCUAUUAUUGUUAUUGAUAUUUGCACAUGCGGUGUGACAAGUCGGGCUAUAUAUGUGGGUUUGCGCAUGUGGCGAAAGAAGGUGAGAAUAUUAUUAUGCACAUGCGGCGAGACAAGACAGGCAUUUACUUUAUUGUUGCGCACGUGGUGAGACAAGAUGGGCUAUGUCGGGGAAUGAUUUGUGAUGACUUGUGAUGGACUGGAGGCAUUGUUAUUGUUGAUAUUUGUGUAGUGGUGUUCCUACCUUGUGUGAGUUAUACCUAGUACAUUUCUUGAUGAUCAUUUCUUAUGUGCCAUUCAUUGUCUCCACUUUUACUUGUUGACUUGAAUUGUGAUAGAAUACUUGCACAAGCAUACACGUAAUUAAUUACCCAUAUUGGUUUAAGAAGAUAAAUCCUGAUGUUAUUGACCAUUUACAUGUACUCAUGUUUACUUGCCUUCGGUGUGGGAGUUGUUCUAUUGGCAUGUGAGUUGUCCGUGUGGUCACGAGUCAUUAUUAUUGUUUGCACGUGACUUGUCCGUGUGGAUAUUUGAUAUUGUUACUUCCUUGGCACGUGAGUCGUCCGUGCGGUUUUGAAUUGUAAUGUGGGCACGAGAUGCCAAGUGAUUAGGGUCUGCGCGUCGGGACCCCUGAAGUGUGACUAAGAGGUGAAGUAACUCGGGGAAAUCUUUGAACAAAUCUUGUGUGGAAGCGGUUGCUCUUGUUGAAUCAUUACUUGUUCCUUCUACUUGAUUUCACCGGACCUAAACUGUGUUCAGCUUACUCUAUGGUGUUAUUACCUGUUUUUCCCAUGUUGCUAAUCGUUGUUUCUAGGGCUUUAUUGUGAGUAUUGUUUUGUUAACUUUACCAUGCUUAGCUUUAUAUUGACAUUGUUUUCUUGUUAGUUUCACAUUCAUACUUGUACAUGUUAUUUAGUCUAGUAAGUGUCUUGACUGUCCCUCGUCACUACUUUACCGAGGUUAGUCUUGAUACUUACUGGGUAUCGCUGUUGUGUACUCAUACUACGCUUUCUGCACAUUUUUAUGCAGAUCCAGGUACCUCAGAUGUUUGUUGAUCAUUAGCUAUCUAAUCAGGCAUUUGCUAUGGAGACUCAAGGUAAACUUGCUAUUGCGUUCGCAGGCCUCUGAGUCACUUUCUGAGAUUUUACUUGUACUGUUUAUUUCUAUUCCAGAACAGUUGUACUUAGGGAUUUUUUGGUAAACUCAGUAAAGAUUAUGACUUGUACUACCGAUUUUGGGUAUUGUAUUGCACUUGGGAUUUAGUGGAUUACUAUAUAAAUUUCAGUUUCAUGCUUAA
rnacentral:lncRNA from 1 species